rnacentral:rRNA from 1 species
CAGUAGCCGCGGGAAUACGUAGGUGGCAAGCGUUGUCCGGAAUUAUUGGGCGUAAAGGGCUCGCAGGCGGUUUCUUAAGUCUGAUGUGAAAGCCCCCGGCUCAACCGGGGAGGGUCAUUGGAAACUGGGAAACUUGAGUGCAGAAGAGGAGAGUGGGGUCCCACGUGUAGCGGUGAAAUGCGUAAAGAUGUGGAGGAACACCAGUGGCGAAGGCGACUCUCUGGUCUGUAACUGACGCUGAGGAGCGAAAGCGUGGGGAGCGAACAGGAUUAGAGACCCCGGUAGUCCCUGUCUCUUAUAC